rnacentral:rRNA from 1 species
UACGAAGGGGGCUAGCGUUGUUCGGAAUCACUGGGCGUAAAGGGCGCGUAGGCGGCCGAUCAAGUCGGGGGUGAAAGCCUGUGGCUCAACCACAGAAUUGCCUCGAUACUGUUUGGCUUGAGACCGGAAGAGGUUAGUGGAACUGCGAGUGUAGAGGUGAAAUUCGUAGAUAUUCGCAAGAACACCAGUGGCGGAAGGCGGC